rnacentral:rRNA from 1 species
UACGGAGGUGGCAAGCGUUGCUCGGAAUCACUGGGCGUAAAGGGCGCGUAGGCGGGGAGGUAAGUCGGGUGUGAAAUCCCUCGGCCCAACCGAGGAACUGCGCCCGAGACUGCUUCUCUUGAGUCCCGGAGAGGAAGAUGGAAUUCCCGGUGUAGCGGUGAAAUGUGUAGAGAUCGGGAGGAACACCGGUGGCGAAGGCGGUCUUCUGGACGGUGACUGACGCUGAGGCGCGAAAGGCGUGGGGAGCAAACGGG